rnacentral:misc_RNA from 1 species
UACGAAGGGGGCUAGCGUGGUUCGGAAUCACUGGGUGUAAAGGGCGCGUAGGCGGCUUUGUAAGUCGGGGGUGAAAGCCUGUGGCUCAACCACAGAAUUGCCUUCGAUACUGCAUGGCUUGAGACCGGAAGAGGAUAGUGGAAUUCCGAGUGUAGAGGUGAAAUUCGUAGAUAUUAGGAAGAACACCAGUGGCGAAGGCGGCUUACUGGCUCGGAACUGACGCUGAGGUGCGAAAGCGUGGGGAGCAAACAGG